rnacentral:rRNA from 1 species
UCAAGUUAAUAAGAGCAUAGGGUGGAUGCCUUGGCACUAAGAGCCGAUGAAGGACGUGGUAAGCUGCGAAAAGUCUUGGGGAGCUGCAAGCGAGCGUUGAUCCAGGAAUGUCCGAAUGGGGAAACCCGGCUACUGUAAUAGGUAGUCACCGUGCACUGAAUACAUAGGUGUACGGAGGGAGACUCGGGGAACUGAAACAUCUAAGUACCCGAAGGAGAAGAAAACAAAAGUGAUUUCCUAAGUAGCGGCGAGCGAACGGGAAGCAGGCCAAACCAGAGACUACGGUUUCUGGGGUUGUGGACGCAUCAUAAGUGAUGGCGGUAUUCUAGUCGAAGAGGUUUGGAAAGACCCACCGAAGAAGGUGACAGUCCUGUAGACGAAAGAAGAAGGCCCACGAUGCGCACCAGAGUACCACGGGGCACGUGAAACCUUGUGGGAAGCCGGGAGGACCAUCUCCCAAGCCUAAAUACUCCUUAGUGACCGAUAGCGCAUAGUACCGUGAGGGAAAGGUGAAAAGAACCCCUGUCGGGGAGUGAAAAAGAACCUGAAACCCUAUGUUUACAAGCAGUCGAAGAACUUUAUAUGUUCGACGGCGUACUUUUUGUAGAACGGGCCAACGAGUUACGUUAUAUAGCAAGGUUAAGGUGUUCAGCACUGAAGCCGUAGCGAAAGCGAGUCUGAAGAGGGCGUAUAGUUGUAUGGCGUAGACCCGAAACCGGGUGACCUAUCCAUGAGCAGGGUGAAGCUGAAGUAAAAUUCAGUGGAGGCCCGAACCCAUAUCUGUUGAAAAAGGUUGGGAUGACUUGUGGAUAGCGGAGAAAUUCCAAUCGAACUCGGAGAUAGCUGGUUCUCCCCGAAAUAGCUUUAGGGCUAGCCUUGAUGUGAGUGACGCGGAGGUAGAGCACUGACUGUCCUAGGGGCUUCACCGCCUACCGAAGACUAUCAAACUCCGAAUGCCGCAGUCAUAUAAUCAGGAGUCAGACUAUGUAUGAUAAGAUUCAUGGUCGAGAGGGAAACAGCCCAGACCGUCAGCUAAGGUCCCAAAGUCCAAGUUAAGUGGGAAAGGAUGUGGGGUUGCUUAGACAACUAGGAUGUUGGCUUAGAAGCAGCCAUUCAUUUAAAGAGUGCGUAAUAGCUCACUAGUCGAGUGACCCUGCGCCGAAAAUUACCGGGGCUCAAACUUGGCACCGAAGCUACGGCAACGUUUAAGACGUUGGGUAGGGGAGCAUUGUAUACGGGCAGAAGCUAUACCGUAAGGAGUGGUGGACUGUAUACAAGAGAGAAUGUUGGCAUGAGUAGCGAGAGGCAGGUGAGAAUCCUGCCCGCCGAAAACCUAAGGUUUCCUGGGGAAGGUUCGUCCGCCCAGGGUUAGUCAGGACCUAAGCCGAGGACGAAAGUCGUAGGCGAUGGACAACUGGUUAAGAUUCCAGUACCACCGAAAGUCGUCUGAGAGACGGAGUGACAGGGAAUGCAAAACGAUCGCACCGAUGGAUGUGCGUCCAAGCGUCAAGUGAGAACCGGUAGGCAAAUCCGCUGGUUUAAUUGCAAGGCGUGAUGGGGAGCGAAAAAUAAGUAGCGAAGUCGUUGGAGAGUCCUUCAAGAAAAGCUUCUAUCGAGACCUAGGUGCCUGUACCGUAAACCGACACAGGUAGGAGAGUAGAGAAUACUAAGGCGAGCGAGAUAACCAUUGUUAAGGAACUCGGCAAAAUGACCCCGUAACUUCGGGAGAAGGGGUGCCGCAUUAGGGUUAACGCCCGAAGCGGCCGCAGAGAACAGGCCCAAGCAACUGUUUACCAAAAACACAGGUCUCUGCUAAGUCGAAAGACGAUGUAUAGGGCUGACGCCUGCCCGGUGCUGGAAGGUUAUGAGGAGAGGUUAGCGUAAGCGAAGCUUGAAUCGAAGCCCCAGUAAACGGCGGCCGUAACUAUAACGGUCCUAAGGUAGCGAAAUUCCUUGUCGGGUAAGUUCCGACCCGCACGAAAGGCGUAAUGAUUUGGGCACUGUCUCAACAAUGGACUCGGUGAAAUUGUAGUACCGGUAAAGAUGCCGGUUACCCGCAGCAGGACGGAAAGACCCCGUGGAGCUUUACUGUAGCUUGGCACUGGAUUUUGGUAUAGCAUGUACAGGAUAGGUGGGAGACUAAGAAGUAUGCACGCUAGUGUGUAUGGAGUCACCGUUGGGAUACCACUCUUGCUAUAUCAGUGUCCUAACCGUGCGCUGUUAUCCAGCGUCGGGACAAUGUCAGGUGGGCAGUUUGACUGGGGCGGUCGCCUCCUAAAAAGUAACGGAGGCGCUCAAAGGUUCCCUCAGUGCGGUUGGAAAUCGCGCGAAGAGUGCAAAGGCAAAAGGGAGCUUGACUGCGAGACAUACAGGUCGAGCAGGGACGAAAGUCGGACUUAGUGAUCCGGCGGUACCGAAUGGAAGGGCCGUCGCUCAACGGAUAAAAGCUACCCCGGGGAUAACAGGCUUAUCUCCCCCAAGAGUCCACAUCGACGGGGAGGUUUGGCACCUCGAUGUCGGCUCGUCUCAUCCUGGGGCUGUAGUCGGUCCCAAGGGUUGGGCUGUUCGCCCAUUAAAGAGGCACGCGAGCUGGGUUCAGAACGUCGUGAGACAGUUCGGUCCCUAUCCGCUGUGGGCGCAGGAAAUUUGAGAGGAGCUGUCCUUAGUACGAGAGGACCGGGAUGGACAAACCUCUGGUGUAUCUGUUGUUCCGCCAGGAGCACUGCAGAGUAGCUACGUAUGGACGGGAUAAGCGCUGAAGGCAUCUAAGCGCGAAGCCCCCCUCAAGAUAAGAUUUCCCAUCCUUUAUGGAGUAAGACCCCUGAUAGACUAACAGGUUGAUAGGUCCAAGGUGUAAGUGCAGCAAUGUACUCAGCUGAUGGAUACUAAUAGGUCGAGGACUUGACCAA